rnacentral:rRNA from 1 species
UGCAAGUCGACGGGCUCUUCGGAGCAAGUGGCGGACGGGUGAGUAACGCGUGAGAAUGUGCCUUGAGGAUGGGGAUAACAAUAGGAAACUAAUGCUAAGACCCAAUGUGCCUUAAGUGGUGAAAAAUGAAAAUUGCCUGAAGAGGAGCUCGCGUCUGAUUAGCUAGUUGGGGUGGUAAAAGCGCACCAAGGCGACGAUCAGUAGCUGGUCUGAGAGGAUGAGCAGCCACACUGGGACUGAGACACGGCCCAGACUCCUACGGGAGGCAGCAGUGGGGAAUUUUCCGCAAUGGGCGAAAGCCUGACGGAGCAAUACCGCGUGAGGGAGGAAGGCUCCUGGGUUGGAAACUCAAAACUUAGGGAAGAAAAAAUGGACGGUACCUAAUUUAAGCAUCGGCUAACUCGUGCCAGCAGCCGCGGUA